UUUGCAAAGAGCACAUAAAUCAGUCCCUCCAGAAAAAUGCGAUUAUGCGACAUAAUUCAAUGCAUAAUCAGCCAAAGUCUGCAUAUUUAUGCGGGGCCGCACUUUUUCGAAUAUGCUUUUUCGCCGCAUAAAUUGCUGAUUUACGCACAAAAUUAUGCAGGGAUUGCAUGAUUUCAUAAUCCCUGCAUUUUUGUUGCAAAAAAGUCACAGAUAUCUUAGCAGAAAGUUG